UUGAUCCUGGCUCAGGACGAACGCUGGCGGCGUGCUUAACACAUGCAAGUCGGACGGUGAACCGCUUUCGGGUGGGGAUCAGUGGCGAACGGGUGAGUAACACGUGAGUAACCUGCCCUUCACUCUGGGAUAACUCCGGGAAACCGGGGCUAAUACUGGAUAUGACCUACUCGGGCAUCCGAUGUGGGUGGAAAGAUUUAUUGGUGGGGGAUGGACUCGCGGCCUAUCAGCUUGUUGGUGAGGUAAUGGCUCACCAAGGCGACGACGGGUAGCCGGCCUGAGAGGGCGAUCGGCCACACUGGGACUGAGACACGGCCAGACUCCUACGGGAGGCAGCAGUGGGGAAUAUUGCACAAUGGGCGAAAGCCUGAUGCAGCGACGCCGCGUGAGGGAUUAAGGCCUUCGGGUUGUAAACCUCUUUCAGCAGGGAAGAAGCGGUUGGGUUUUCCCGGUCGUGACGGUACCUGCAGAAGAAGCACCGGCUAACUACGUGCCAGCAGCCGCGGUAAUACGUAGGGUGCGAGCGUUGUCCGGAAUUAUUGGGCGUAAAGAGCUUGUAGGCGGUUUGUCGCGUCUGCUGUGAAAUUUCGGGGCUCAACCCCGAACUUGCAGUGGGUACGGGCAGACUAGAGUGUGGUAGGGGAGACUGGAAUUCCUGGUGUAGCCGGUUGAAAUGCGCAGAUAUCAGGAGGAACACCGAUGGCGAAGGCAGGUCUCUGGGCCAUACUGACGCUGAGAAGCGAAAGCAUGGGGAGCGAACAGGAU
rnacentral:rRNA from 1 species